rnacentral:lncRNA from 1 species
GUCAGGGCAGUGGCUGAGUCUGCUUGCCGGGGGUCAGGAAGGCUGUUCUUCCAGGAAGGGCUGCAGAGACCCUGGGAACAGGACUAGGCUGCUCACAAGUAUGAAGAGAAUGUCGGGAGAGGAAGUGGUGGCUGUGAGUCAGCAUGAGUCAUCUCGUUCCAAUGAGAAUGAAGACUGAGGUGUGCGCCUUUUUUUUCUCUCUCUCACUUUUUAAAUUUUUUUUAUUUUUUUGAGUCUCAAUCGUGUGGACAUCACUGGGAAUGGAGGGAAAUAACUGACUGAAUGGUCGUUGCUUUUAAGUUUCAAACCGACAUUCCAGGCGGGUUGUGUCUGAGCCAGCCUCGGGCUUUCAGACCUUCACAGCCUGGUCCUGAGAAGGUAGAGCUCUCAGCUUCUCCCUGGUCUGAGCAGCAGAUUGAAGUGCAAAGCCCAUUUUUGGGAGAGGUUGGACCGGUUGUGUUCAUGAAUCAAGCCAUCCCUCUGUCUGUCUCUGAACAUGUUCUUUCACUUGUUUGGGAGAAUUAAGGAAUAACUGGGAGAUGAAACAGGAAACUUUAUGACACACUUGCUUGAAAAUGACACAGGACUCAGCCCCUCUGCAUCACCUCUACCUGCUGCCCACAGCCGAGUGCGGGGGAAGGGCUGGCCCUGGGACCUGAUUCCAACCGCCGUGGACUCGACAUUCAGUGUGAUGUGUCUGCCAUACUGUGGUCAUGGGCUAGUCUGGUCGGUUUCCUAUGUAGCUGGCCACUCUCAGUGUAUCUUUGCCCCUUUUCCUUCAUUAAAAGCAU